GCCAGGCAUGGCAGUGCAUGCCUGUAAUCCUGGCUACUUGGAGGCUGAGGCAGGAGAAUCACUUGAACUCGGGAGGUGGAGGUUGCAGUGAGCCGAGAUCAUGCCACUGCACUCCAGCCUGGGUGACAGACAGAGACCCUGUCUCAA
rnacentral:SRP_RNA from 1 species